AAGCAAAAUUUAAAACCAUAACUUCUAGACCAAUCGAAAUCGUAUUAUAGGAUUAUAAGCUUUAUCUACAAAGAGAUACAAAACCAUGUUGUCUUUAGGUGUUUUAUUUUUAUUUUAUUUUUUACAAAAUACGGAUUUCAAAACAAAACUUGUUCUAUGAUUUUAAUGGGGUUGUAUUGAAACUACAAUAUAAAACAAAUGCUGAGGAUUCAUGCACAGAAAUAAACAAAACAUCUCCAAUCGUGAGUUGUAUUUUUCAACAAUUCCAAUGACAAUAUCUGUGGCCAUUCAAAAAGAGCUUUAAAAUACUUGCACGUACGUUGUUAAAUUUCUCUUUACUGUGUAAUUGCUUUACAGUGAAAACCCAGGUCGACUAUCUUGAAAUAAGACAGUGUUCCAAUAUUUUGUUAUAACAUGAAGGACAUUUUGUAUUGUGUUAUUGUUUGUUUAAUUAUUAAUAAAUGUUCUGUUUCGU
rnacentral:sRNA from 1 species